AGAGGCAUCACCCUCCUGCCAAUUCUCCAAAGGAAAUGUUCCCGAGCAUCAAAAAGUUGGAGCUCUUUGAAGAUCCGUCCGCCAGCUCGUCAGCAUGGCAACUGUGCGAGCAUGCAAAUCUGAGCGUACAAUGCAUUGCGAUAAACUGAUGCGGUGCCUCUUAACGAACCUUUUAUCCUCUUGUUGUUUUAGAAAAGCGCAGAUCUCUUUGCCAAGACCUCGUAAUUUCGGUUCCUGCAGGCUUCGCCAUCCUGCGUUUCGCCGUCUUCUUCGUGACUGUGCCAGGCUCCAAGUAGGCACAUCCCCUAGAGAGUAAGCAGCACAUGCCCUGGUGUCGAUGCCACUCGACGCGGGUACGACGGCAUCUGCUUUGUAAUAAUGGAGAUAUGCAACUUGUCUUGUUAUUCUCGUUGGCACGCACCAACCUUCGGCAGAGUGCCAGGAUCUCUGCGUCGCCGUAUGCCGCUGGGAAGUUGGCGGUGGCUUGGGAAUGGCAGAGUGCCAGCAUGUUCCUGCGGUAACCAGCCCCCGACGCGUGCCACUUGGCAAAGACAAAGAGCCCUAGGGACGAAAUACAAAACAAGAUUGAAAAACACAGUGAUCCGACAGCUUAAUUAACACUCACAGAGUUUGUUGGGUUAAUUAGUGUGACAGAUUUGGUGAGGAGGAAUGUGGCAGGAACACUUGUGAGAACAAAAGUGAUGGGCAACCCAGACUGAUGGAAUGUCAGCGGAUGCCAGCGUUACGCAUGCCAGCAGUAACUCCGCCGACUCUGUGCCGAUGGCACUUUACGUUCAACAGGGUUUGUAAAAAGGAGAAAUGGAAAGAAAAGGAAGAAUCAAGAAACAGUCUGCUGUUCAAAAACAAGUUUGUUGGACAAGACAGAAGAGGAAACAACUGUGGAUCCAAGCAAACAAGGAGGAGCUAAAGAAACCGCAGGCCUUGACUUACUGUACAGUGACUCAACAGACUGAUCAAAAUGCUAAGUCAUUAUGGAAUAUGGCUUUUAUCUAUUGCAAAAACCAAAAAAUAAUGGUUUGCACUAAUUAACUACUUUUUGUAGUAUGUCGGGAACACCAAAAGGAUAUAUGUUGGCGGGUGAUAGCAUGGUGAACUUUACCUGGAGGAUGCACUACUUCUGCAGUUUUAUGGACCUACUAGAGUUUUCCAAAAGCAAGGAGAGGAUCUUAAACCAUCAUAUACACAUUAAUGAGUGACUUUGUACUUGAAUACUAGUUCGAAACUUCCUGUUGAGUCAGAGAGAAGAGGACUCUAUACAGAGAGUGAGUGAGAGAAUUCAGUCCCUCACUGGAUGCGUUUGACAUUGUAGAGGAGUAUAAAUAAUGCAGAUUUUCUCUCCUCCUCUUCCUUCUCAUGCUUUCCGAAGGAAGGGAUUUACACACCUUUGUGCUUUGAAUCCUUCGUUGGCAUCGUUCUCGUUAAGCGACGCAGGAUUGGUUCCGAAACGGGCAUUGUUUCCAGCGUUACCUUCGAUAAACAAGUUCAAAUUAGACGUUAAUAACCUCGUGAAAUGGGCUGUUUAAUUUGCGGUUCCUGUUUUUUUUUGUUUUUUUUUUGCUUUUAUGUCUUUCUUUGUACCGAUUGCGGACAAUUAUGUACGGAUAUGCUAAUGGCGCUGUAUUAAUGAGAUAUUUCUGUUGCAGCAAUCCUGCAAUGGAGUGACAGAGACGAAGAUGGGAUUUACUAGAUUAAAUGAGAGAGAGAAAGAGCGAGCGAAAGUGAGAGAGAGAAUGGUUAAUAUCCUGCGCUUAAUCAUGGCACAUGAGAUUGGCUGUUUGCAUAUCUCAUUUGCAUCUCAUUAAAUUGCCCAUGCACCUGCAGAGAGAGAGGGGAGAGGGGCAGAGGACGGCACAACCAGAAAUGAGGGUGUAGUUUCAGUAAGCAGACUGUUUCUAAAGCAGUUACUUCAUUUUACGUUAAAUUAUCAGAAUUUUUUUUUUUUUUUAAUGGUACACUGUGCACAUUAAAAGGCUGCCUGUGGUCUUAUUUUGAUGAUGCAUUCCAUUUUUCUAUUUAAUACCGAUAUUUUCUAUGAAUAUUAAAAAAGUGUAUUGCAUUUGUUUUCUUUCAUUAAAAAGUGAACGAUC